CCCACUCUGAAAAGGUCUCAUGACUCUUGGCAAUACUAGUGUAAGUUUAGCCCAUGAAUGAAUUUACCUGAUCUGAUUAACAGUUCCAAGGGACAGUGGACUCACUAAUCUUUGAGAGCUGGGAAAGCCUUGAGUGGGGCCUUCAUGUUUCUAUCUUUCUGAGUUGAAGAAGGAACUCAUCUUUCAUCUCCAAGUCAAUGGUACCAGUGGCUUCUAUUCCCAGACACAGGGUGUAAUAAUUCAUGAAGUAUUUUUGAGUUCACCUGCAUAUCUGCUCCUUUGGACCAGGGAAAGCUCUAUGAGGAACAUGUUCUUCCCAUGUUCUUAUGCUACAACAGGGCUCAUAUUUUACUGACGGGUUUUAAAAAUAAUGCCUUCGUACGUGCUGGAUCUCUCACCAGAACCAACAAUUCGGUAGCUCUUCAGGCUAAGCAGUGAAGAUGAGUUUCGGGGAUUACAUCCACUUCACCAGAGAGAUGCAGAGAACAUCAGCAUAUUCUAGAUGGGCUUCCCCUCUGCAAUUUAUGAUGAAAUCUGACUUCAGGGAACAUGGGCUUGUGACAGCAGCAGCAGAGAACCUUCUUCC
rnacentral:lncRNA from 13 species